UGGUAUUGGAACCUAAGGAGCUUUUGGUGGUGUUGAAAAAUGAGGAGGAUGAAUAGGAGAAGGAGUUUGUGGAGGUUUUGGGACAUAGGGUGAAGGAGCUUUAGGUGUAGAAGGAACUUGUGGAACACUUGGAGGACUAUAUAUAGGUGAUGGAGCUUUUGGGGGUGUUGGAACACCAGGAGGGGUAUAAAUAGGUGAAGGAGUUUGAGGAGGUUUUGGAACAUAUAGUGGUGGAGCUUUUGGUAUAUUUGGAACAUUUGGAGGACUAUACAAAGGAGCAUUUGGAGGUGUUGGAACAUAAGGAGGUGGAGAUCUCACAGCCAAAACCACAACAAUAAGUUUCUGACCCUUUUCACAAUUA
rnacentral:lncRNA from 1 species